rnacentral:lncRNA from 1 species
GUAAAAAGUAUCGAGGUUUUAUUUCAUGUCCCGUUGUUCAAAGGAAGUCUGUAACAGAACGCUCCAAGAUGCCCGAAGAGAAAACUGCUCAUUCAAGAAGCACAUGAUAAGAACACAUUAGUGUCCGAGUCAAAAUAAUGAGGUUUUAUCCCUUAACGAUAAUAUCGUUAGGCCCACCUUCAGACGUGAAAGUGUGAAAAAGGAUUAAAUACUCAUUAGAAGGAGAGCAUCAAACAACAAGGUUUUAUUUUUAAACAGUAAUUUUUCUCAAACUGCAAACAAAUAUGCAGAAUAUGCUUUGCUUAAGGACAUUCCCUGAUUACUAGGAAAUGAAUCAACACAAAAACUCAAGAAUAUACAUCAUAAUAUAACACAAUUUUAUUUCCGCCUUCUAGAAAAUGUUCCCGGAAUGUGGAAGAAGCUUGUGUAAAAAUAGAUGUUCAGAGUAACAAGAUUUAUAAUAGCACAGCCUUAGAAAUCUAAACACGUUAUUUAAGUAAAAUAUCAGGCAGGUAUUUAAAAUUAUGUUAACAAAAACCUUGUGUUUGUCUUAUAUUUGUUAAAAGCCAAAUGCGAAAUUUUUAUAUAAUAUGACUUAAACUAUAUUGACAUACAUAUAAUGCACAAAAAGUGUAGGUCAGUUUUUCAAAAUCACAGCAAGCAAUUAGAUCUAAGGAUGGAAUUAUAGGUAAAUUACUUUUAUUUCUUUAUACUUUUCUGUUUUUUCUAGAUUUUUCCAUAAUGAGUAUAUAUUGUCUUAUGAUCUAUAAAACAAAAUUUAAAAAUACAAGGGAGAUGAGACUGGCUAUUUGUAGAGAAUGAACCCAAUUUAGAUAUACAAAUAUACUGUAAGUAUACAAGGUAAAGCAACCAAAGGACGGUGAGAUAGCAAAAUUUUAACAGUGGUUGUAACUUUGUAAUGGCUUAUGGCUGAUUUGUCUUCUUUAUACUUUAAGAUAGCUACCAAAAUGUCUUCCAUGAGCAUAUAUUAUAUAUUAGAAUAUUAAAUAUCUUUUAAGAUGGUAAGAAUAAUACCAUCAUAUUAAGUAUAGUUUUAAACUAAUGGGCAAAUCCUGGCACAAAUACUCCCUGAAGUAUGUUUGAUACUGUUAAUUCCUACUUAAUGUCAAUGUUUUCUUCUCUUUCUGUUACUAAUUUAACCCUGUGUUGGGAAUGAC